rnacentral:rRNA from 1 species
AGAGUUUGAUCCUGGCUCAGAUUGAACGCUGGCGGCAGGCCUAACACAUGCAAGUCGAGCGGUAGCACAGAGAGCUUGCUCUCGGGUGACGAGCGGCGGACGGGUGAGUAAUGUCUGGGAAACUGCCUGAUGGAGGGGGAUAACUACUGGAAACGGUAGCUAAUACCGCAUAACGUCGCAAGACCAAAGUGGGGGACCUUCGGGCCUCAUGCCAUCAGAUGUGCCCAGAUGGGAUUAGCUAGUAGGUGGGGUAAUGGCUCACCUAGGCGACGAUCCCUAGCUGGUCUGAGAGGAUGACCAGCCACACUGGAACUGAGACACGGUCCAGACUCCUACGGGAGGCAGCAGUGGGGAAUAUUGCACAAUGGGCGCAAGCCUGAUGCAGCCAUGCCGCGUGUAUGAAGAAGGCCUUCGGGUUGUAAAGUACUUUCAGCGAGGAGGAAGGCGUUAAGGUUAAUAACCUUAGCGAUUGACGUUACUCGCAGAAGAAGCACCGGCUAACUCCGUGCCAGCAGCCGCGGUAAUACGGAGGGUGCAAGCGUUAAUCGGAAUUACUGGGCGUAAAGCGCACGCAGGCGGUCUGUUAAGUCAGAUGUGAAAUCCCCGGGCUCAACCUGGGAACUGCAUUUGAAACUGGCAGGCUUGAGUCUUGUAGAGGGGGGUAGAAUUCCAGGUGUAGCGGUGAAAUGCGUAGAGAUCUGGAGGAAUACCGGUGGCGAAGGCGGCCCCC